GUCCACGCUGUAAACGAUGAGUGCUUGAUAUCGGAACUUGUUUUCGGUGUCGGAGCUAACGCGUUAAGCACUCCGCCUGGGGAGUAAGGUCGCAAGAUUAAAACUCAAAGGAAUUGACGGGGGCCCGCACAAGCGGUUGAGCAUGCGGUUUAAUUCGAUGUUACACGAAAACCUUACCAACUUUUGACAUAGUGGUCGCGAAGAACAGAGAUGUUUUCUUCAGUUAGGCUGGACCACAUACAGGUGUUGCAUGGCUGUCGU
rnacentral:rRNA from 1 species